ensembl:lncRNA LINC02539 long intergenic non-protein coding RNA 2539
AUCUUUUCAAAAGGAUAAGUGCUUCUAAGACGAAGUUACUUUUCCAACUGCACAGGAAGAACUUGUCUGUUACCUAGAUUCUUAUAUUUAUUUAAAAUUUUUGAGCAUAAUGGUCUUAGUAAGCCUGGCCAUCAUCUGAGUUAAACAGCCUAGUAUAUUAGGAAGAAACUGGACUAGAAUUUGGAACAACCCUGGUGCAAAUCCCAGCUCUGCUACUAACAAGUGGUGUACCGUUAAGCAAGUGCCCUAACCCUUCUGGAUCUCAGUUUCUUAUCCCAAAAUGGGUUUAAAGUCUCAGCCAUAUAUCACAAAAUUUUUGUGAGGAUUCAAUGAAAUACGAUAUUGUAGAUGGUGGCUUUUAAAAAAAUUACUCAUUUGGAGGGUCAGAACUAGAGGUGGUGGAGUGAACGCCGCACCAGGCAAUGGAAGAAGCACUGGCCUAGACCAAGCUUGAGCGUGCACCACUGUCACCUGGAGGGCUUGUUCCAACACGGAUGGCUGGACUCACCCCCAGAAUUUCAGAUUUAUUAGGUCUGCACUGGGCCCUGAGAAUGUUUAUUUAAAACAAAUUCCUGGAUGCUACUGGUUCAGUUGCCACACUCUGAGACCCGCUGGCUUUGAGCUUAGAAGAUGUGGGUUUGAUUCCUGGAUUCCACAGUUUACUAGCUGUGAGUUAGAGAAUUUAAAUUACUUACCUGAGUCUUGGUUUCUUAUUUGCAAACUGAACUGUAAACUAUUUGUUCUACCCAUUUUAUAAGACUUUUGUAAGGAUAAAAUAAAAGAAUACAUAUGCAAAUUACUGAAAAA